rnacentral:rRNA from 1 species
ACGAAAGGUGCAAGCGUUGUUCGGAAUGACUGGGCGUAAAGCGCACGUAGGCGGGUUUAUAAGUCAGAUGUGAAAGCCCCGGGCUCAACCCGGGAAUGGCAUCUGAAACUGUAGACCUUGAAUGCUUGAGAGGUUAGUGGAAUUCCAGGUGUAGGAGUGGAAUCCGUAGAUAUCUGGAGGAACAUCGGUGGCGAAGGCGACUAACUGGCAGUGCAUUGACGCUGAGGUGCGAAAGCGUGGGGAGCAAACAGG